rnacentral:rRNA from 1 species
GACGAACGCUGGCGGCGUGCUUAACACAUGCAAGUCGAACGGAAAGGCCCUGCUUUUGUGGGGUGCUCGAGUGGCGAACGGGUGAGUAACACGUGAGUAACCUGCCCUUGACUUUGGGAUAACUUCAGGAAACUGGGGCUAAUACCGGAUAGGAGCUCCUGCUGCAUGGUGGGGGUUGGAAAGUUUCGGCGGUUGGGGAUGGACUCGCGGCUUAUCAGCUUGUUGGUGGGGUAGUGGCUUACCAAGGGUUUGACGGAUAGCCGGCCUGGGAGGGUGACCGGCCACAUUGGGACUGAGAUACGGCCCAGACGCCUACGGGAGGCAGCAGUGGGGAAUAUUGCACAAUGGGCGGAAGCCUGAUGCAGCAACGCCGCGUGCGGGAUGACGGCCUUCAGGUUGUAAACCGCUUUCGCCUGUGACGAAGCGUGAGUGACGGUAAUGGGUAAAGAAGCACCGGCUAACUACGUG